rnacentral:rRNA from 1 species
GACGAACGCUGGCGGCGUGCUUAACACAUGCAAGUCGAACGAAGUGGCGAACGGGUGAGUAACGCGUAAUCAACCUGCCCUUCAGAGGGGGACAACAGUUGGAAACGACUGCUAAUACCGCAUACUGACGGCGGGGAUUGCGUCUGAUUAGCUAGUUGGAGGGGUAACGGCCCACCAAGGCGAUGAUCAGUAGACGAUGUGGCAGGAGGAACGGACACAUUGGAACUGAGACACGGCCCAGACUCCUACGGGAGGAAGAAAGGGGGAAUCUUUCGAGAUGGACGAAAGGCUGACGGAGCAACGCCGCGUGAGUGAUGACGGCCUUCGGGUUGUAAAGCUCUGUUAAUCGGGACGCGGUACCGGAAUAGAAAGCCACGGCUAACUACGUGCAAGCCGCCGCGGUAAUAC